AUGGAGGUGGAACCGAGGUCAUAAUCAGGACAAUAAGCAGCUUCUAUGUAUGUGAAAGGGAGGGAAAGGAUAGGUGGUCAUCAUCAGAAACCGAGAUACUGACAUUCAACAUCCUGGAGAUAGUGUCAUUCCUAGAGACAAUGACAUUCAAUAACACCAGAAUGCAGCUAAAAUGUCUUAGAAACGAAGGUUAUCAGAGUUGAACAAGUUGAGGAAUUUGGAGGUCAUAUGUCACCACACCAUGACUACUCAAUGAAUUUCAGUCAUUAAGCAAACACCAGAGUGGGAGAAGGUCAGUGCCUACCCAGGAGUAACAAGCACAGGAUCCAAACCGAGAGCCGAGCCAACCUGGAUCUAUAUCUGUAUCUAUAAAACAAUGCAGACAGCCUCAGGAACUGGUAGAUACACCCCCUCACUGGAGAUCUUUCAAGAAAAGACUGGAGAUAUACUGUACCAGAGAUAACUGUGAGAUGGACAGAAAGGCUACCAAGAUCCCUUCCAAUUCUCUUUCCCUCCUGAUGUAAACCUUGGAGAUAUUUAAUGAGGAAAAAAAGAACGGCUGACAUGACGCCUAUAUGAAACCUCAUUCCUGUGUUUUCUAAAUAUAAUAUCCCCUUAAUAAAUAAUUUCAAAUUUGAAUU